ensembl:snRNA U1 U1 spliceosomal RNA
AUACUUCCCUGGCAGGGGAGACACCAUGAUCACGAAGACAGUUUUCCCAGGGCGAGGCCUGUCCAUUGCACUCUGGGUAUGCUGACCCCUGCAGUUUCCCCAAAUGUGGGAAACUCAACUGCAUAAUUUGUGGUAGUGGGGGAAAUUUAUUUUAAAAGAUUCUCUCU